GGGGCAUUCUGUAUUAUUCCUGAAAACAAAAUCAGUAGUUUGGGGAAGGAAGAUCGCGGUAGGAAAAGUUGCACUGCCACCCCCACCACCAUGAAGCCCACUCCCACCGCCGAGGAGGUGGUCACCGCGGAAGUUUGCUGUUUAGUCUUCCGCUCCUGAGGGAGGAGGGGGCGCCGGGCACUGUUUAUGUGCAUGUCGCUUCAGAAGAAAAAAGUGCCCCAGUCCAGCCGGCCAGCCAAUUUUCCAUUUUGUCCACGUAACAUGGAA
rnacentral:lncRNA from 1 species